rnacentral:misc_RNA from 1 species
GGAAGAGUUGAUGAGAGAGAGAUUCUAAGCAUGUUCUUAGAUGUUGAGGAGGUAUCUGAAUCUCCUGCUCCAGAGGAUAGAGCAAGAGAGUUGGAAAAUUUGGAGUGGGAGUUUCUGUUGAAUGUUCAGAAUUUGGAGCCAGACCCAGAAAUUACAAAUGAUGAAUUCGAUUUCGGUCGUCAUGUGGAUCGAGACGAUUACAAUUACACUACUGAGUAUGAGCUAUUGUUUGGACAGUUUGCAGAGGGCGAUCAUGGUUUUCUUGGAAGACCACCAGCUUCCAUGACUGUUGUUAGAGACCUUCCAACUGUGGCUGUGAGUAAAGGUGAUUUAGAAAAUAACAAUGCUACUUGUGCUAUCUGCAAGGAUGAGUUGAAUUUAGGAGAAAAGGUUAGACAGUUACCAUGUGCUCAUAGGUAUCAUGGUGACUGUAUUCUGCCUUGGCUUGGGAUUAGGAAUACCUGCCCAGUUUGUCGGUACGAGUUGCCCACAGAUGAUCAUGGCUAUGAGAGGAGGAGAAGGGUCCAGACAAUUCACACACUUGAACUUGAUCAAGUUGAUUGAAGGUUUUGUUCAUCAUUAUAGUUUCAGUUGCUUCACAACUUGGCAGGGCAAAAACAGAGUUCUUGCUGGCACUGGAAUGCUUGCAAAUAGACCACCACCACCACCCAAAUGCCAGGGAGGUUGGAGAGAAGCUCUACGGCAUUUGCUUGGAUAAGUUUUGUUCUGGAGCCAAUGGUACAUCAUAUCCCAUAUCACUGUUAUAAUACACAACCAGGAGCUCUCAAUUUGUUUAUAUUUGUAAGAGAGUGAAUUUGUUAAAUUACAGAUCAUGGGGAAAUGUUAAAUGGAGCUUGCUUGUUGUUGGCUAAAACGUCCACAAGUGCAGAAUCUGUCUCGUCCAGUGAGAUGUAUUUUAUUAUUAUAAGUUUGGCAACUUGUAAAUUGUUCUUGAAUUUGUAGUUUGAUUGUUGAAAAUCAAUGAUAUGGAAUAAUACAUGUUCAAAUUGGUUGUUUAGCUUGUUUUUUUUGUUGAAAAAUAUGAAGAUCAACAAAAAGCUCAUUUCCUUUAUUU